UACUCGAAGGUGUACAAACCUAGAGGGCAGUGGGGACAUGGUUGGUUGGUAUAACACAGUACAGCUGCACCAUGACAUUGCUUGUGGGGAUGCUGAGAAAUCUGGAGGAAUUCCCUGGGGAAAUGUUGAGCUGGGAAUAAAAAAACCCAAACAACCCAACCUGCUUCACCUACUGUUCCACUUUGUACCCAACAGUGAAACGAUUAAAAUGACUUGCUUUUCAGAAGUGCCUUGGACCUGCUGUGACUGAAUGGCACAUGGGCCACUCCUUGUUCCUGAGAGUGCCCAGAAUGUUCAGGGCAUUUUCCAGGUGGGAGAAAGUUACUGCUAAGCAGACACAGAAGAGCGAGGGAGGACAUUCAAGGCAGCAGGUAUUUAGGGAGUAUUGGAAAGCUCCUUGCUCCUCCUGCGCUGUGGCAGAAGAUCUGCAUGAAGAUUUCUACAAGUAUUUGACAUGAGUAAUUAUAUGUCUGACUUCUCAAAUUUUAUGCGGACGGAAAACUCCCUCUGAACUCUGUGUGUGUUGGGACCCAGCUCAUAAGCAUCUUGCUUUAUCCCACUCCAGCAUCAUCAUCACCUCUUGUUUAAGACAUGGAUUCUGUCCUUGCUGGUUAAGACCAGUGAAUUAUUUCACGCAGAAGUUAAGCUGAAAUAUUUCUUGGUGUAUGUCCUUUUGUGCCACCUGCCUUCAAGUAAGUGGCCUCCUAUUGCUGUUGAGCCUUCUAGGAUAUCAAGUUCUCACCCUUUUCCAUCAACAGUCAAGGGGCUGACCACAACCGAAGCACUGAGGGGCUCAUCCUCCCAAGGUUGUCGUCUUCCCGGCCACUCUGUGUGGUGACAUCUUGGCAUCAUACGUGGAGAAGCAGUUUACAAGAGCCCAUAUAACUAACCAGAGGUCUCCACCAUGUCCCAGUCAUCCCGCUGUCACACCGCUGCCUAUGACCCAGCCGACCGAUGCUCGCCCAGCACCACACUGCUGACUCGGCAGGUGCCCAGUGCUGCCCGCACCGGGACUGGGGGAGCGCACAACAAACAAGUACUCACCCAGUGGCAGCGCCAGCCUGUCUCCCUAUUUAAUAAGCAAGGGAAAUGAGUCGCAGCUAAACUCAUUGCACACUUCUAUUACGUGAAAGAAGUGUCAAUAAUUCUGUAAAUACACCAGGGAAUUUAUUCAUCUCAGCCUCCAGUAAUGGUGAAUUACCCUGGUGACUGGUGCAAAAUUCGGAAGCGUAUACAACCAUAAUGAGAAAGUUCUGUGGUUUCCCUUAAAAAGUAAUAUAGUGGUUAUUGCUGGUAGUUACUGCUUUUGUGAAGUAUUAACGCGUGGUUAUAGUGCAGUCAUGUAGCAAAAUUAUAAGGGCCUGUAGAAUGUUACUUAGCAACACUUGCUAAAGUUGAGGUGGUAACGAAGAAAUGGAGUAAAAGAAACACGGAGUGUUUUGGAGUCAUAAAAUGAACUGUGGUGUGACUUGAGAAAGCUGUUCUGAAGUUAAAGACAUCUAUUUCUCUUUUUGCCAUGUGAACAUGGCAGAAGAACUUAAAUGCUAAUUUGAAGCAACACACUUGAAAUAUCUAAGUAACAGAAACAAGCAUUAUGUUAUUUUUUCUUAUCAUUGCUGCUGUCUGGGAAAAGCAUCAGAAUUGCUGGGCUUUUGAAGAUCCUCUCCUUGUCAUUUCAAACCCAUCCCGAGGCACCAGCUGGCCAAUUAAAAUAGUCUCUCCUUUGGAAAGCUAGCAUUUGUCAGAGUUAAGAAUGAAGGCUUCUUUCUACUACAUUUAUUUUCCCCAUUCAUUCAUUUACAUAACUCUCUCCACCAUUAAUCAAGUGCCUGUAGGUAUAUUUCAAGGAAAGGAUAAGGCCAUAAAAAUGAAUGCAGAUAGUUCUAGUUAUAGAUGAACCUUCCACAUGUUGCAGAUCUGUCUCAGACGCUUAUCUUGGUUUAUCUCCACCUGUUUAAAUUGGAAAACUCACAAAAAUCCAUCUCCCAUGAGAUUUCCAAGGUUUCUUGAUUCCAUGUGGGUCAGAACUGCCACAAGAGAUGCAUUUCUCAGAGCGCUUCUGAGCUGCUGCCAGGAACAGGGAGUGCUUGACUGUGCCACUUAAAAAAAAAAAAAAAGUUUUCUUUGAAAAGUCACCAAAUUUUAUAACAUUAAAAAAAAAAUGUCCUAGUUUAGUCUUGGGUAUGAUUAAAAGAGCUGCUCUGAUUUAUUGGUGUCAAACAAAGUAUGUUUGUGUAGAACAUUAUUUUGUAAUGGAAAAAGUGUCGGUGGAAGCACUGCCUAUCAGCACUGCUUGGACUGGAUGAGGACUGAGCCUUAAAUUAGGAGUCGUUUAAUAACUGGAGAAAAGGAAGACUGCUAAGAAUGUUGUAUCUAGGAGGCCAUCUCUUAGUCUCUCAGAUAAAGGUAGCUGUGAAGUCAACCUCAGCGACAUCUAGGGUUCUGCUGAUUAAAUGAUAGAAGAUAUUUGCCUGCUUUGUGCCUCACCCUGGCCCUGUAAAGCAAAUGGAAAGAAGUGUCUUAUUCCAAUCCCACCAGGAGCACUGAGCCAUGAAUAUGGAGUGAAUGUUUCACAGGGAAACUUUCUAUAUACACAAAUUUAAUAAACAAAUUUCUGGUCGGUAACAUAGUUGCUUCCUAUUG